AGUCACUGACAUUAGAUACCCCGGUAGUCCCAGCCGUAAACAAUGUGCGUUAGGUGUGUCGGUAACCACGCGUUACUGAUGCGCCGAAGAGAAAUCGUGAAACGCACCACCUGGGAAGUACGGUCGCAAGGCUGAAACUUAAAGGAAUUGGCGGGGAGCACCACAACAGGUGGAGCCUGCGGUUUAAUUGGAUUCAACGCCGGACAUCUCACCGGAUAAGACAGCUGAAUGGUUGUCAAUCUGAAGGUUUUACAUGACUAGCUG
rnacentral:rRNA from 1 species